rnacentral:rRNA from 1 species
GAUGAACGCUGGCGGCGUGCCUAAUACAUGCAAGUCGAGCGAACAGACGAGGAGCUUACUCCUCUGACGUUAGCGGCGGACGGGUGAGUAACACGUGGAUAACCUACCUAUAAAACUGGGAUAACUUCGGGAAACCGGAGCUAAUACCGGAUAAUAUAUUGAACCGCAUGGUUCAAUAGUGAAAGACGGUUUUGCUGUCACUUAUAGAUGGAUCCGCGCCGCAUUAGCUAGUUGGUAAGGUAACGGCUUACCAAGGCAACGAUGCGUAGCCGACCUGAGAGGGUGAUCGGCCACACUGGAACUGAGACACGGUCCAGACUCCUACGGGAGGCAGCAGUAGGGAAUCUUCCGCAAUGGGCGAAAGCCUGACGGAGCAACGCCGCGUGAGUGAUGAAGGUCUUCGGAUCGUAAAACUCUGUUAUUAGGGAAGAACAAAUGUGUAAGUAACUAUGCACGUCUUGACGGUACCUAAUCAGAAAGCCACGGCUAACUACGUG